GGUAGCUCAGUUGGUAGAGCAGUUGACUGUUAAUCAAUUGGUCGUAGGUUCGAGUCCUACCC
rnacentral:tRNA from 1 species